UCUGAGGACAAGUUUAAACUCUGGAAGAUGACUUUCUGACUUGAAGCCCAGUGUGUUACACUGUGCCACCUGGCUGCCCCAUCAGUAUAGAAAAAAUAGUCAAUGUAAGUGGAUUUUCUUCCAAGAUUAUCCAAGUCCCUGAGGCCAUUUCAACCACCAAGGGCAGGUGCUGACAGUAGUCUACAGAUAAUCACAAAGAAGAUCACCUACUACUGACACCAAGAAAAAUGAUCAUAAGCCAUGGGGAGAGACAUGUGUGCCA
rnacentral:lncRNA from 1 species